GAGGAAUGUAUAGCAAUAGCUAGUUGCAUCAUNGUACAAUGAAAUGAUGCAACAUNGACUAUGUCGAAUAAAAUUCUAGGUAGAAUUAUGAUAAUGACAUUGUCUGCCUAUGUGUCUUGACCAAAUUACGUGCCAGCAGUCGCGGUAAUACGUAGAAGACUAGUGUUAUUCAUGUUUAAUCGGUUUAAAGGGUACCUAGACGGUAAAUCAAGCUUUAUAAGAAAUAUAGUUAAAGGACUAAUUUACUAGAGUUACUUACGAGGGGGCAUUAAAGUACUACUGGUGUAGAGAUGAAAUUCUGUCAUACCUCUUUUCAAAAGAAAAAAUGAAGGCACAGGUAUAGGCGAAGGCAUCUCCUUAUGUGAUAACUGACGUUGAGGGACGAAGGCUUUGUAUAGCGAACAGGAUUAGUUACCCCAGUAGUCGAAGCAGAAAAUGAUGAAUGUCAUAGAUUAGAGGUAAGUUUAUUCUAUAAAUGAAAGUGUAAGCAUUCCACCUCAUGAGUAAUUUGGCAACAUUGGAACUGAAAUCAUUAGACCGUUUCUGAAACCAG
rnacentral:rRNA from 1 species